GGCGGAGUAACUCAACUGGUUAGAGUGGCAGAAUCAUAAUCUGUAAGUUGGGGGUUCAAGUCCCUCCUCCGCUACCA
rnacentral:tRNA from 1 species